rnacentral:lncRNA from 1 species
UUUGACGAUCAGGAGGUUUGGGUGCUGGUAGUUCAAGGAGUUUGAGUUUGAUAUGCUAGAUUGUAGCUGCAACAAAUGGCUCAAAUGUUUGAAAGAGGAAAUAGGGUUUGCUCUUACAAGUGGCCCAAAUCCAAAAAGUCCACAACCUCACCAUCUCCCCCAGAGACCUCCCAAUAGCUAUUAUCUCCCGCAGGUCUACAAUGGAUUUUCGCAUGGUGAAAAAAUUGAUUCUCCAAUUCGAUUUCGCAGUGCGAUUGAGAUCAAUAGAUUCAUGAGAACGAAUUCUAAUUUUAAUAUCAUCAUGGAAACCACUCAAAAAAUAACCCAAAUAUUGCAGGUAUGUUAACCCAUGCACCUAAGAAGUGUAUUGAGUUUGGAAUGUUUCACUGUUUGGGAGACAGAUCUUAAUGAUAGGAUUGUACUAGUUGAGAUUCAGGUCUUUACAGCUUGGUUGUAUCACUGAGAUGUAGGAUUGGCUAGUCUUGCUUGGAACUGGAGCCAGUCCAGGACCAGCUCGAUCACAGGACAGGACUGGGAAUCCCCCAAAUCAAUUACUGUUUGCCACUAGCAAACCUGAACUGGUAGAUAGGCUUGGGAGUCCAACCCAGUUCAACCUGAACUGGUAGAUAGGCUUGGGAGUCCAACCCAGUUCAAUCUGUAUUUUUUCAAAAGAAAAUUUGUUGAAACCAUUGGAUUGCCUCAAACCUGAUGAUAGAGUUAGGAACAGAGUUAGCUUUAAAAUGAAAAAUGAGAAGAGAAAUAAAGUAAAAAUGAAAUUGCAAUGAAAACUUGUAUGGAUUGACAAUGGAAGACUCUACAAGUUUAUUACAGCAAUACUCUCACAGUAUAACUAGAAACAAGGACCAUAGAAGAACCCAUCAAGAAAAAUAAAAUUACCCCGAAGAGCCCCCGGGAAAAGCUUCAUGUACAGAGAAGAACCCUGCCCCUCUAAUUGGAGAAAUAACUGAUAUAUUUUCAGGUCCCCUUUCUAUUCUCCUCUUCAUCUCUUUAUACAAAUUUCUGCGCUCUUUGCCAGCUGUCCUAUCACAUGUUUCCACCCCUAAUUCUCUCCAACAAAUCUUAUCCUUUUUGUUAAACAUAUAUUCUAGAAUACUCCAUAUUCCUAUCACCUGAUCAACUCAAAAUAUAACUAGAACUGAAAUCACAUUUAAAUCAAACUGGAAAUGUUUGUAACCAAACUAUCAAACCUGCCUGCUCCUUUUGGUCUGGUUUAGAGGCGCCCUUGGCAAAAAACCAGAACUGGCCCUUUUCCAGGGCUGCCCUCUGCUAAGCUGUUCAGAUUGGUAGUUCUUUUGUUCUUGGGGAAUUGUUUUAAGUGAAGUGGUAAAGAUGCCUGCUAGGAC